rnacentral:rRNA from 1 species
AACAUCUAAGUACCCCGAGGAAAAGAAAUCAACCGAGAUUCCGAAAGUAGCGGCGAGCGAAAUUGGACUAGCCCUUAAGCUUUACACGCGUUAGACGAACGGUCUGGAAAGUCCGACGAUACAGGGUGAUAGUCCCGUAGUUGACGACGUGUGUUCAGUGAAAUCGAGUAGGGCGGGACACGUGAUAUCCUGUCUGAAUAUGGGGGGACCAUCCUCCAAGGCUAAAUACUACUGACUGACCGAUAGUGAACCAGUACCGUGAGGGAAAGGCGAAAAGAACCCCUGUGAGGGGAGUGAAAUAGAACCUGAAACCGUGUACGUACAAGCAGUAGGAGCAGGCUUGUCCUGUGACUGCGUACCUUUUGUAUAAUGGGUCAGCGACUUAUAUUCAGUGGCAAGGUUAACCAUCUAGGGGAGCCGUAGGGAAACCGAGUCUUAACUGGGCGUUCAGUCUCUGGAUAUAGACCCGAAACCAGGUGAUCUAGCCAUGGGCAGGUUGAAGGUUGAGUAACAUCAACUGGAGGACCGAACCGACUAAUGUUGAAAAAUUAGCGGAUGACUUGUGGCUAGGGGUGAAAGGCCAAUCAAACCUGGAGAUAGCUGGUUCUCCCCGAAAGCUAUUUAGGUAGCGCCUCGGACGAAUACUACUGGGGGUAGAGCACUGUUAAGGCUAGGGGGUCAUCCCGACUUACCAACCCUUUGCAAACUCCGAAUACCAGUAAGUACUAUCCGGGAGACACACGGCGGGUGCUAACGUCCGUCGUGGAGAGGGAAACAACCCAGACCGCCAGCUAAGGUCCCAAAUUACUACUAAGUGGGAAACGAUGUGGGAAGGCUCAGACAGCCAGGAUGUUGGCUUAGAAGCAGCCAUCAUUUAAAGAAAGCGUAAUAGCUCACUGGUCGAGUCGGCCUGCGCGGAAGAUGUAACGGGGCUAAGUAGUAAACCGAAGCUGCGGCAAUGUGCUUUUGCACAUUGGGUAGGGGAGCGUUCUGUAAGCGGUUGAAGGUGUGUGGUAACGCAUGCUGGACGUAUCAGAAGUGCGAAUGCUGACAUGAGUAACGAUAAAGGGGGUGAAAAACCUCCUCGCCGGAAGACCAAGGGUUCCUGUCCAACGUUAAUCGGGGCAGGGUAAGUCGACCCCUAAGGCGAGGCCGAAAGGCGUAGUCGAUGGGAAACGGGUUAAUAUUCCCGUACUUCUUACAAUUGCGAUGGGGGGACGGAGAAGGCUAGGUGGGCCUGGCGACGGUUGUCCAGGUUCAAGUGCGUAGGCUUAAGAGUUAGGUAAAUCCGGCUCUUUCUAAGGCUGAGACACGACGUCGAGCACCUACGGGUGUGAAGUCAUUGAUGCCAUGCUUCCAGGAAAAGCCUCUAAGCUUCAGAUUGUAAGGAAUCGUACCCCAAACCGACACAGGUGGUCGGGUAGAGAAUACCAAGGCGCUUGAGAGAACUCGGGUGAAGGAACUAGGCAAAAUGGUACCGUAACUUCGGGAGAAGGUACGCUCUUGAUGGUGAAGUCCCU